rnacentral:rRNA from 1 species
UACGUAGGUCCCGAGCGUUGUCUGGAUUUAUUGGGCGUAAAGGGAACGCAGGCGGUCUUUUAAGUCUGAUGUGAAAGCCUUCGGCUUAACCGGAGUAGUGCAUUGGAAACUGGGAGACUUGAGUGCAGAAGAGGAGAGUGGAACUCCAUGUGUAGCGGUGAAAUGUGUAGAUAUAUGGAAGAACACCAGUGGCGAAAGCGGCUCUCUGGUCUGUAACUGACGCUGAGGUUCGAAAGCGUGGGUAGCAAACAGG